AACUUUUAGCAAUGGAUCUCUUGGCUCUCGCAUCGAUGAAGAACGCAGCGAAAUGCGAUAAGUAAUGUUAAUUGCAGAAUUCAGUGAAUCAUCGAAUCUUUGAACGCAUCUUGCGCUCCUUGGUAUUCCGAGGAGCAUGCCUGUUUGAGUGUCAUUAAAAGUUCUCAACUGCACUGGUUCUUUCUGGUGCGGCUUGGAUUUGGGGGAUUUGCGGGCUUUGAAUGCAAGUCUGCUCCCUUGAAAAUGAUUAGUGGUAUCUGAGCUGUACUAUGGGUGUGAUAAUUAUCUAUGCCUUGAUGUAUUGCCAGAGGAUGCCCUAUGAAAGUGUCGCGAUGAAUUUGACCUCAAACCAGGUAGGACUACCCGCUGAACUUAAGCAUAUCAAUAAGCGGAGGCU
rnacentral:misc_RNA from 1 species